AUUGAACGCUGGCGGCAGGCCUAACACAUGCAAGUCGAGCGAGCGGCGGACGGGUGAGUAAUAUCUGGGAAACUGCCCGCUGGAGGGGGAUCACUACUGGAAACGGUAGCUAAUACCUCAUACCAUCAGAUGUGCCCAUAUGGGAUUAGCUAGUAGGUGGGGUAACGGCUCACCUAGGCGACGCUCCCUAGCUGGUCUGAGAGGAUGACCAGACACACGGGAACUGAGAUACGGUCUAGACUCCGACGGGAGGCACCAGUGGGGAAUAUUGCACAAUGGGCGCAAGCCUGAUGCAGCCAUGCCGCGUGUGUGAAGAAGGCCUUCGGGUUGUAAAGCACUUUCAGCGGGGAGGCGUUACCCGCAGAAGAAGCACCGGCUAACUCCGUGCCAGCAGCCGCGGUAAUUC
rnacentral:rRNA from 1 species